GCUAGACAUCAUGAGGUGCCUCUUCCUUUUAUAUUUGAUAUAAAUCAAUGCAUAAAAAUUAUUGUCAUAACCUUUGCAUAUAUAUGAAACCUACAAUUUUUGAGAACAUAAAGCACAUUUCAAACUAAAUUCAGACAAUAACUUGACAGUGUAUUUGAAAGAGCCUAAAUUGGUCUUUCAAAUACAGUCUGCCAUUAGUUCACAGCACAAGAGAAAAUAAAAAUCUAUGUUUGCUUCGAGCACCAUAUGAAUGCAAAUACUAGCAAUGCAAUAGAUUCUUAUCCUAUUAAAUGAGAGAUGAGGGAUUUUGCUAGAAGACGUCUGGGUGGAAACGACCCGGGAUUGAGCUGCUUUGCUGAGCUUGCUCCAGGUGCAUCGUCAAUGCAUAGUUGUUCACCUCCAAGGCUCUCAACUGUUCCUGGUAUUGGGACACCAACUGCUUCAGAUGCUGCAACUCCUGGCUCCUAUCUUCAAACUCUUUUUGACGCUCAUGCUGAAUAGAUACAGCUCGUUUGAGAAUUGCAUUUUCCUGAAUCAGUGCUUGUACUUGUUCCUUCAACAUCAGAUUUUCCUGCUGAAAACUUUUGGCUGCCUCUGCUCCAGCACGAGCACAGAUAGACUUCUCCAGAACUUCCAGUGCUCUUGAAGCACGAGCUCUAGCAUCAUCCAUGUUGGAGGCACUCAUCAUUUCCCUAACAAAUAGCUCUACCCACUCUGCCCCAUCCAUUGGAAGUUCUGUAGGAGCUGAUGGGUCAUCAGCUGGUGAAGCUUUUGUAUUAGUAGUUGAUCCGCCUGAAACAAAAUGGUUCUGCCCAUUAAAAAACAUAUGGACAUAAAAUACACAGUAUAAUUUUCCUGAUUUUUUCUUUUGGAACUGCAAUUCUCAUGGUCACAUAUUUCAUCAGAUUGAACAUGCAAAUGAAGUGAAUAACAGACAAAGUAGAAAAGAGACUGCAAGGCAAUUGUAUCUGGAUUCAGAAAAAGCAUAGACAAAAAGCAAGUACAAAGGAGGACAAUAUUGAAACACUGUGAAGUCUGGAUACCUCUAUAGUAUAAUAUAAGGGGUGUUUAAGGAUGGGAUGGCCAAAAGACAUGCAAAAGCAUUAAAGCAAUACAGCAGGACAUAAGAGCUUCCUACAUAACUUUGACAGGAAACAAACUUUUGUAGUUGCCAACAUCAUAUAGACAAUAAAAAAGAAAUAACAACAACAAUAAUAAUAAUAAGUUUCCUAUGAGUUUAAACACCACAAGAAAUGCAUCAGAAUUAGUAAUAAAUAAGAAGUAGAGUAUGUAGACCACAAGCAGUAUUACACCUGCUGCAAAUAGUGAACCAUACUGGAACAACUCAUCAGAGUUAUUAGGCAAUGUGGAUAAGUUUUUUUAAGCAAGAAAGAAAAUUUCACCUUUGUGAUCUUGAUUUCUCCUAACCACCAAGGAGAUAAACACCUAAGGUCACAGGAAAAACUACACAAACCUACCUAUUAAUUUACAAUAUUUUUCUUAAUGCAGCACACACACUCAUCCACAAACUUGCAAUUAGACAGAAAUGAUCUCAGCCCAUCCAAAAACAAGCUUGAAACAUUCAAGACAUAUGGCUGAUUCAAAAAAUUUCUCAUGCAUACCUUGUUGUUGAACAUUAGACUCAAGGACAACAUCAGAUCUAACUACAUUAGAGCCCAAGUUGCUAUCAGCAGAACCUAAACGGAGCUCAGUCAAACUUCUGAUAGCUGAAUCUAAAUCAUCGCCACAUUCUUCGAGUGCUCUCUCAAGAAUCUGUUUGUCCAUAUCAGGGAAAAGAGCAACGAGUUUCUCGAUCAAAAGCGAAGAAGAUAGAUUGGAAGAGGGGGAGGAGACAGAAACACCGUUGUAUGACCUUGGAGGAGAGAAACGAACAGGAGAGGAAGAGGAACAGCGGAUUCUCUUGGAAACGGGAGGGCUUGUCACUGUCAAUUCUUCGAAAAAGGAUCUCUUCCCGCACACUAUGGCAGACAUAGUUUCUUUUUCUCCUCUUCUCUUCUUCUUCUUCUUCU
rnacentral:misc_RNA from 1 species